rnacentral:rRNA from 1 species
GUGGCGCAGCUAACGCACUAAGUAGACCGCCUGGGGAGUACGGCCGCAAGGUUAAAACUCAAAUGAAUUGACGGGGGCCCGCACAAGCGGUGGAGCAUGUGGUUUAAUUCGAUGCAACGCGAAGAACCUUACCAGGUCUUGACAUCCUCGGAACUUGGCAGAGAUGCCUUGGUGCCUUCGGGAACCGAGUGACAGGUGCUGCAUGGCUGUCGUCAGCUCGUGUCGUGAGAUGUUGGGUUAAGUCCCGUAACGAGCGCAACCCCUGUCCCUAGUUGCCAGCGAUUCGGUCGGGAACUCUAGGGAGACUGACGGUGACAAACCGUAGGAAGGUGGGGACGACGUCAAGUCAUCAUGGCCCUUACGACCUGGGCUACACACGUGCUACAAUGGAACGCACAGAGGGCAGCGAACCCGCGAGGGGGAGCGAAUCCCACAAAACGUUUCGUAGUCCGGAUUGGAGUCUGCAACUCGACUCCAUGAAGUCGGAAUCGCUAGUAAUCGUGAAUCAGAAUGUCACGGUGAAUACGUUCCCGGGCCUUGUACACACCGCCCGUCACACCAUGGGAGUGGGUUGCUCCAGAAGUGGUUA